CCCAAUGCCAAAUCCAUGGAGAUCCGAUCAAUCCUUCUUCAACCCCAAUUCCUUCCUAAUCCACCAAUUCCCUCAUUUUGACUCAUCUUGGAUCUCAAUUCCCUCCUACUCCGCCACACAUCGCCACCGAUCCAGGCUUCGCGGAGCGCGCUGCGAAAUUCUCCCGUUUCGGCACCCUGGCCUCGCCGCUGCCCUUAAAAAUUCCGGUGAACUUCCCGGAUCCGGCAGAGAAUCCUCCGUCUCCGACCAGAUUCAGGCGAAGAUGAAUUCCCGGAAAAGAAAUGGGAUUUCCUGAGGCAAGAGAAAAGACGACAGGUCGAAUUCGGCAAAGGAAGCCGCCGAUGACGGGAGCUCAAAGCAAUCGGAAAAGAAUGUAAUAAAACCGACCAAAAGCCGCCGGAGCCGCCGAAGGAUUACAUUCAUGACCGAGCCAGAAGAGGCCAAGCCACUGACAGCCAUAGCUUAUCAGAAAGAGUGAAAAACACCCUUUUUUCUUCUAUUUUUAUCUCGUACUAGUAUUUCAUGAUUUUGAAUUUUAACUGUGUCUAAUUUAUUAGGUAUGGAGAGAGACAAUUAGUGAGAGAAUGAAGAUUAUUAAGAUCUGGUACCAGGUUGCAAUAAGUUCUAGUCAAUGAAAUUGGCAUCAGUAAAUCCAGACCUCGAUUUCAACAUGGAUAACCUUCUAUCCAAAGAUAUGUAUCAGCAUCAACUCUACUCAAUCUACCAUAACCAGAAUGUACAACACCAACAGCUGCAAGGUACAAGCAUCUCAAGCGUAGAACCUCUCCCUCUAGAUUCUAGUUUAGGAAUCGAUGGAUUCUGUGAAAAUUUAUCCAGGUAAUAAUGAUAUUUCAUUUCAAAUUUUGGAACUAAAAAAAUUAUGUAAAAAGGAGUUAUCUAUUACAAGCUCAUCCCUAUGUCACGUAACAACAAGACUAUUUCUACAAAUUUUCAAUCAAUAAAGUACCUUGGAGUGAGGCACCAAAAUCAUGAACAAAAAUGCAAAAUUUUCUUUUUCUUGUGCAAAUUUUGAUUCUAAUCCUUUCUAUUUCAGAUAUUCCAAAUCAACCAUGAUAUAACAAAAAAAACAAAGAGAUCUACAACUUUCUAUCAAACUUGGCAAAAUGGAGUAUCCAAGCUUCGAUUUUUACUAUUAACCUCAAAUUCAGUAAAUCAUAUCAUAUACAGUCAAGAUAAUUGAUUUUUCAAGAAGAUGUCAUCCUGUUUAUUGUUAGACUA